GCAAGCUACAAAGGGCAUGCGACGGAUGCCUAGGCGCUAGGAGGCGAUGAAGGACGCGGGUGGCUGCGAAAAGCCUCGGGGAGCCGCCAACCAGGCUUCGAUCCGGGGAUGUCCGAAUGGGAAAACCCAGCCGGGUGCUGAAUCCGGUUAUCCCUGCCUGAAUACAUAGGGCAGCGGAGGCAAACCCAGGGAAGUGAAACAUCUCAGUACCUGGAGGAAGAUAAAGAAAACUCGAUUCCGGAAGUAGUGGCGAGCGAAACCGGAAGAGCCCAAACCGGGGUCACGAGAGUGGCUUCGGGGUAGCGGGGCCGCAUUUAGGACCACAGCGAGAUAGCCAAACAGGCUGGAAAGCCUGGCCAGAGAGCGUGAGAGCCGCGUCGGCGAAAUCUGGCUGUGGCCGAGCGGGAGCCCCAAGUAACGCGGGACACGUGGAACCCUGCGUGAAUCAGCGAGGACCAUCUCGUAAGGCUAAAUACUACCUAGCGACCGAUAGUGAACAAGUACCGCGAGGGAAAGGUGAAAAGAACCCCUGUGAGGGGAGCUCAAAGACCCUGAAAUCGCAUGCCUACAAGCAGUUCGAGGGCUACGCCCGUGAUCGCGUCUGGUAACAGGCGAGGGUGCGGGAAUGCCUGAGAGCGUACCUUUUGCAUCAUGAAUCGGCGACUUAAUGUACGUGGCGAGGUUAAGCCGAUAGGUGGAGCCGCAGCGAAAGCGAGUCCGAAACGGGCGAGUGAGUCGCGUGCAUUAUAACCCGAAGCGAGAUGAUCUAUGCAUGGCCAGGAUGAAGCGCGGGUAAAACCGCGUGGAGGUCCGAACUCAUGGAGGUUGAAAACUCUUGGGAUGAGCUGUGCAUAGGGGUGAAAGGCCAAUCAAAUCUCGUGAUAGCUGGUUCUCCUCGAAAGAUAUUUAGGUAUCGCCUCGGAUGGUCGCUGGCGGAGGUAGAGCACUGGAACGGCUAGGGGUCCUACCAGAUUACCAAACCGUACCAAACUCCGAAUGCCGCCAAGCGUAUAGUCCGGGAGGCAGUCGCAGGGUGAUAACGCCCCGCGGCAAAAGGGGAAUAACCCAGACCGCCGGCUAAGGUCCCCAAAUCCAGGCUAAGUGAACACUAGAAAGGAUGUGGCAGGACCCAGACAACCAGGAGGUUGGCUUAGAAGCAGCCAUCCUUUAAAGAAAGCGUAAUAGCUCACUGGUCAAGUCAGGCUGCGCCGAAAAUGUAACGGGGCUCAAGCCUGGUACCGAAGCCGCGGGUGCACCCUCUCUUGGAGGGUGUGCGGUAGAGGAGCGUCCCAGCGGGGAAGAAGCCAGAUCGCAAGGGCUGGUGGACCUGCUGGAAGUGCUGAUGCCGAUAUGAGUAGCGAUAAGGCCCGUGAGAUUCGGGCCCGCCGAAAGCCCAAGGUUUCCUGGGGAAGGUCAAUCCGCCCAGGGUUAGCCGGAGCCUAAGUCGAGGCCGAAAGGCGUAGGCGAUGGUGAGCAGGUUAAUAUUCCUGCGCUGUCAGCUUUCCAAUGAAGCGAGGUGUGACGGAGAAGGGUAGCCGGACGAGGGACGGAGAUGCUCGGCCGGGCGCUGUAGGGGUGCUCCAUACGACCAAAAGGUGGAGCAGCCAUCCCCGAGGGCGAUCGAUAGCGCGUUCAAGCGCGACUCAGGUGAUCCCAGGCUUCCAAGAAAAGCACCGCGUGGAGGGGGCUGUCAUCCGUACCGCAAACCGACUCAGGUGGGCGAGGAGAAAAUCCUAAGGCGCUUGAGAGAACUCUCUCCAAGGAACUCGGCAAGUUGCCACCGUAACUUCGGAAGAAGGUGGGCCUGUUGGCGUGUAGGGAUUUACUCCCGAAGCGCCGGCAGGUCGCAGAGAAAUGGGGGUUGCGACUGUUUACCAAAAACACAGGACUCUGCAAACACGUCAAGUGGAAGUAUAGGGUCUGACGCCUGCCCGGUGCCGGAAGGUUAAGGGGAUCCGUCAUCCGCGAGGAGAAGCGGUGAUCCGAAGCCCCGGUAAACGGCGGCCGUAACUAUAACGGUCCUAAGGUAGCGAAAUUCCUUGUCGGGUAAGUUCCGACCUGCACGAAUGGCGUAACGACAUCCCCACUGUCUCGGAGAGGGACUCAGCGAAAUUGAAAUAGCUGUGCCGAUGCAGUUUACCCGCAGCAAGACGGAAAGACCCCGUGAACCUUUACUACAACUUGACAGUGAUACUAGGGGUUACUUGUGUAGAAUAGGUGGGACGCGACGAAGCCGGGCCGCCAGGCUCGGUGGAGCGGCAAUGUGAAAUACCACCCUGGUGAUUCUUGGUAUCUAACCGAGCGCCCUGAUCGGGUGCCGGGACACUGUCUGGUGGGUAGUUUGACUGGGGCGGUCGCCUCCUAAAAAGUAACGGAGGCGCGCGAUGGUUCCCUCAGCCUGAUUGGAAACCAGGCGUCGAGUGCAAUGGCAUAAGGGAGCCUAACUGCGAGACCGACGGGUCGAGCAGGUGCGAAAGCAGGUCAUAGUGAUCCGGUGGUUCUGAAUGGAAGGGCCAUCGCUCAACGGAUAAAAGGUACUCCGGGGAUAACAGGCUUAUCUCCCCCAAGAGUUCAUAUCGACGGGGAGGUUUGGCACCUCGAUGUCGGCUCAUCGCAUCCUGGGGCUG
rnacentral:rRNA from 1 species